CCAGACUCCUACGGGAGGCAGCAGUGGGGAAUAUUGGGCAAUGGGCGCAAGCCUGACCCAGCAACGCCGCGUGAAGGAAGAAGGCUUUCGGGUUGUAAACUUCUUUUCUCAGGGACGAAGAAAGUGACGGUACCUGAGGAAUAAGCCACGGCUAACUACGUGCCAGCAGCCGCGGUAAUACGUAGGUGGCAAGCGUUAUCCGGAUUUAUUGGGUGUAAAGGGCGUGUAGGCGGGAGCGCAAGUCAGAUGUGAAAACUCAGGGCUCAACCUUGGAACUGCAUUUGAAACUGUUGGUCUUGAGUAUCGGAGAGGCAGGCGGAAUUCCUAGUGUAGCGGUGAAAUGCGUAGAUAUUAGGAGGAACACCAGUGGCGAAGGCGGUCUGCUGGACAGCAACUGACGCUGAGGCGCGAAAGCGUGGGGAGCAAACAGGAUUAGAUACCCCCGUAA
rnacentral:rRNA from 1 species